GUGGGUCUUCAUCACUGAUCCCAAGUUAAAUUUGAUUGCCCUGUUAUCCUUUAUUUUCAAUAACAAAAAUCAUACCCCUUAGUAUGACAGCUGAGGCUGCCCUGGGAAUUCAGCGUUUUGCUGAGGAGAAGGAAAGCCUCAUAAGUGGGCUUGGUUAAGGUUUUUUUAAGGAACCACAGACCUUAUUUUCUUCUUAGCGCUUGGUGGUUCUGGGACUGGUGGGCCGUGCGGCCGAAUGUGCUGCAGCGGCUAAUUUAAAGUUCUGAGGGAGUUUAAACCAGCAUGCAUUUUUCAUCACAGACAGGUUAAAAGGUUUUUCAAGUAUCCUGCUUAUUCAUAGGCACCUGGGAUCCGGUAGGAUUGCAUAUCUGCCAGGACCUCGGCAAAUAUCACUCCCAAUUUGGCCCUGUAAAGGACAGCCCCAGAAAUUCUUUACACUUGUCCUACCUGGAAAUCGACUGCACAUUUUAUGGCAACUUUGGCUGUGAACUCUUCAUUUCAAGGCUCUACAUCUUUAUUUUAAUAUGCAUUGCCGUUCUUUAUUUGUGCGCCCAGGGAAUACUAAAUUCAAGGCUGACUUUGGUGAAGCCAGCUGCCAUGUUGUGAGCUGCCCUUUGGAGAAAACAGUGUGGUGAAGAACUGAGAUCCUGCCUACCAGUCCACAGAGAACUAAAUCCUGCCAACGACCACCAAGCAAGCCUGGAAGCAUAGCCCAUGCCAGCUGAACGUUGAGAUAGCUGCCGCUUUGGUGAACCCUUGACAAAAGCCUUGUGAGCCAGCCUGAGCUGCGGGACCCAGCUGGUUUGGUUCAGACUCCUGACUCACAGAAAUUGUGAGAUAAUACACGUGUGUUGUUUCAGGCAGCUAAGUUUUGUGGUAAUUUGUUGCCCUCCUAGAUAUUCUACAUCAUGUCAUUUUACAUUAUUUUCAAGCAAGCUCUUAUCAGUGUCUAAAAUGAUCUUAAUGUAUUUGUUGUUUAUUAUCUCUCCUACUCCAAGAUCUAAAUCUUGUAAGAGUUUAAUCUUAUCUUUCUUGUUCAUCUUCAGUUGCCCAGUGUCUAGAAGAGCACCCGGCAUGAAGUUACUGGUGCUCAGUCAUGAAUGAAUGAAUGAAUGAAUGAAUGAAUUUACUUAGAGUUUUCUUUCCAGGCCUUUGUAAUUGUCUCUCCCUAAAAUAGAGAAAUGUCUUAGGGCAAAGGCAUUUGCUUUUUCUCUUUAUCUCUACCUACAGAAGGAUAAUUUCUCAAUUAUUUUUUAACCUGCUGCUAAUCUUCUUUCUAACAGCUUUUUCAUUAUUAACUUCUCCAUGUCCAAAGGUCUUCAUAAACAAUAUUCCUGUCAUUUUCAUUUUGCAUAAAAUUAGGUAAACACAAAAAAGCUGAUUUUUUGACAUAUGGUA
rnacentral:lncRNA from 1 species